rnacentral:rRNA from 1 species
GUGUCAGCAGCCGCGGUAAUACGUAGGGGGUAAGCGUUGUCCGGAUUUACUGGGUGUAAAGGGCGCGUAGGCGGAUCUGUAAGUCAGUGGUGAAAUCCUACAGCUUAACUGUAGAACUGCCUUUGAUACUGCAGAUCUUGAGUUUGGAAGAGAGAGAUGGAAUUCCAGGUGUAGUGGUGAAAUACGUAGAUAUCUGGAAGAAAACCAGGGGCGAAGGCGGUGUCUUGGUCCAUAACUGACGCUGAGGCGCGAAAGCGGUGGUAGCAAACAGUAUUAGAUACCCUGGUAGGCCACGCCGUAAACGAUGAAUGCUAGGUGUUGGGUUUU